AUGACUUUAAUCUUUAGCAAAAGCCAAAGCAAAAGGCAAAUAAAAUGGCACCACCAGCACGCAGCGAUGCUUGAAGAAUAUGUACAAGAUGCAAAGAAAUGUCUACUGGACACGGAGAAGUCCGGGGGAAGGUAUGGGCUUAGAUCACUAAGCAAUUAUAUGUUUGUUGAUCGGUCUGUUCCAUACUCUCUUUGGAUUAAAGUCCUGUCAGGAUUUAUGCAUAGUAAAUAUGAGGAUGAAUACAAAGAGUUGCGGUCUAGGCUUGGAGAUACAUUCAGUAUGCUGUACACCAGAGUACAAUCCUUUGGCACUAUAUAUGGGUCCGGCUUCAUGUUUUUUCUUCCAUUCCUGGCCUUAUCUUCUAUAGUGCUUUUGGCCACGAGCCGCAAGGAUGGCCACGAGGAGAAGGACAUCACGGUGACAUACAUCCUAUUCUGUUUCACCGCCAUGCUGGAGUUCCUGCUUCCUUGCAUGGUUUUGUCCUACAUGAUUUUGGCCCAGUGCAUUUCAUCUUUCAGUGGGGGGUUCCUUAUGAAGCAUUUUGAAGGGUGGCACGACAUGGUAUCUCAGUGCAACAUCAUGUCCUUCUGUGUUCGCAAGAAGAAGCCCACAUUCUUGAUGAAGCUUGCUGCCUUCAACUUUCUAAGGGAGUUUGUUAACCAACAUUGGUAUAUUAAAAAAGAAGCUAGAGCCUACCAAAUCACGCGGGUGGUUCGCCAGCACGUGGAAGAUGGUUGGAAUAAUUACAUAUGUGGCGCAGAAAGUUACAGGAAAUUCAAUGAGCUUCGAGGCCAGUGGGCUCUAAGAAGACACAAGCAAAUAGGGUGGAGCUUGAAGAUGAAUUUCGACAAAAGCGUCCUCCUCUGGCACAUUGCCACGGACCUCUGCUUUUACCACCCCAACACAUCCCAUCAAUGUCGUCAACAAGCAUAA
rnacentral:rRNA from 1 species